rnacentral:lncRNA from 1 species
GAUCAUACAGACAUAUAUUUGAUGAUAGAUGUAGAGCAUUGGUCAUAAUGAUAAUGUAAUGCUGUUGAUGUUAUAGCCUGAUUCCAUAAAUCGGGCUGUAUUUAUUAUAUUUCCUGAAUAUUAAUAAAGUAUGAAGAACCCUAAACAGAGUGUUGUUAUACGAGUCUUAAAACCACCCUGUUAUAUUGGCGCCCAACGUGUGUUUCUGGUGGAUUAAAGAAACAGAAUUUGAUGACAUUUUCCGAAGCUGAAGCUGUUUUACUACGCAUUACAAUAUACAGAACAUUACUGGUGUAAAUAGAGUUCACCUACAGUUAUGUUGUAUAUGAUUGAAUUUAAAC